rnacentral:rRNA from 1 species
GACGAACGCUGGCGGCGUGCCUAAUACAUGCAAGUCGAACGAGAGCGACCGGUGCUUGCACUGGUCAAUCUAGUGGCGAACGGGUGAGUAACACGUGGGUAACCUGCCCAUCAGAGGGGGAUAACAUCCGGAAACGGAUGCUAAAACCGCAUAGGUCUUCGAGCCGCAUGGCUUGAAGAGGAAAAGAGGCGCAAGCUUCUGCUGAUGGAUGGACCCGCGGUGCAUUAGCUAGUUGGUGAGGUAACGGCUCACCAAGGCCGUGAUGCAUAGCCGACCUGAGAGGGUGAUCGGCCACAUUGGGACUGAGACACGGCCCAAACUCCUACGGGAGGCAGCAGUAGGGAAUCUUCCGCAAUGGACGCAAGUCUGACGGAGCAACGCCGCGUGAGUGAAGAAGGUUUUCGGAUCGUAAAACUCUGUUGUUGGAGAAGAACAAGUGCUAGAGUAACUGUUAGCGCCUUGACGGUAUCUAACCAGAAAGCCACGGCUAACUACGUG